AACGAACGCUGGCGGCAUGCCUAACACAUGCAAGUCGAACGAGACCUUCGGGUCUAGUGGCGCACGGGUGCGUAACGCGUGGGAAUCUGCCCUUGGGUUCGGGAUAACAGUUGGAAACGACUGCUAAUACCGAACGAUGACUUCGGUCCAAAGAUUUAUCGCCCAGGGAUGAGCCCGCGUCGGAUUAGCUAGUUGGUGAGGUAAAGGCUCACCAAGGCGACGAUCCGUAGCUGGUCUGAGAGGAUGAUCAGCCACACUGGGACUGAGACACGGCCCAGACUCCUACGGGAGGCAGCAGUGGGGAAUAUUGGACAAUGGGCGGAAGCCUGAUCCAGCAAUGCCGCGUGAGUGAUGAAGGCCUUAGGGUUGUAAAGCUCUUUUACCCGGGAUGAUAAUGACAGUACCGGGAGAAUAAGCCCCGGCUAACUCCGUGCCAGCAGCCGCAGUAACAC
rnacentral:rRNA from 1 species